CUCCUACGGGAGGCAGCAGUAAGGAAUAUGGUCAAUGGGCGCGAAGGCCUGAGCCAGGCCAUGCCGCGUGGCCAGGAGGAAGGGCCCUAUGGGUUGUAAACUGCUUUAUCUGGGGAUAAACCGUUCUAACGUGUAGAGAGCUGAAGGUACCAGAUGAUAAGGAUCGGCUAACUCCGUGCCAGCAGCCGCGGUAAUUC
rnacentral:rRNA from 1 species